rnacentral:rRNA from 1 species
UACGUAGGGUGCAAGCGUUGUCCGGAAUUAUUGGGCGUAAAGAGCUCGUAGGCGGUCUGUCGCGUCUGCUGUGAAAACUCGGGGCUUAACCCCGGCCUGCAGUGGGUACGGGCAGACUAGAGUGCGGUAGGGGAGACUGGAAUUCCUGGUGUAGCGGUGAAAUGCGCAGAUAUCAGGAAGAACACCCGUGGCGAAGGCGGUUCUCUGGGACGGUACUGACGCUGAGACGCGAAAGCGUGGGGAGCGAACAGG